GAUGAAUGGCGUGGCAAGCUGCGAUAAGCUGUGGGGAGAGGCAUGCACUCUAAGAUCCGCAGAUUCCGGAAUGCUGAUUAGCAAUAACUUCCUUUUGGAAGAAAUAACGCAGGGAAUUGAAUCAUCUUAGUACCUGCAGGAAAAAAAAUCAAUAGAGAUUUCGUAAGUAAAGUCGAUCGAAAGCGAAACAGAUCAGGGUGAAUCUGCCAUAGCGAUAUGGUUUUGAGAUGUGCUUUGUGCAUAUUUUCUUGAAUUUGAACUUAAAUUCUCUUGAAAGAGAUGCCAUAGAGGGUGAUAGCCCCGUGUAGGUAAAAAUUUAAGAAAAGCACAAAUAAGAGUACUUUAUAUUGAAAAUUAUGAAGGAAAAUAGGAGUCAAAAGCUUCUAAAUCUAAAUAUUAUUGAAGUCCGAUAGCGUACAAGUACGGUGACGGAAAAUUGAAAAGUAUCUGUAAAAGGAAAUGAAAAGAACCUGAAAUUAUGUAAUAAAAGUUUUCGUUUUGAAAAACGAGCCGGGGAGUGUUUUUAAGUGGUGAGGUUAAGUACUAAAUAAGUAUGAAGCCAUAGCGAAAGCAAAUCUUUUGCAAUCUUUAUGAUGAGAAAAGUGCGUGUGAUAAGUGCGUUGUUAAUCACUUGAAAACUACCUGAAGCCGGACGAUCUAUUCCUGGACAGGAUGAAAUGUGGCGAAAGCUGCAUGGAGGUCCGCUGCCGUUGGUGUAUUGCCCUCGGGUGAUCUGGGAAUAGGGGUGAAAUGUCAGUCGAGUCCGGCAAUAGCAGGUUCCUUCUGAAAUGGCCCGUAGGCCAGCCUUGUUGAAAAUAAAUAAUAGUGUAGAGAUACUGAUUAAGUGUUUGGGAGAGAAAUCUUUCGGCAUUUUGUCAAACUCCGAAUCUAUUAUUAUUGUUGAAAACAGGAGUGAGUGGAUAGGGGUAAUCUCAAUCCGCAAAAGGGAAACAACCCAGACAAAAGUUAAGGCCCCUAAAUAAUCACCAUAGUGUAAAUCAAGAUUGUCUUUGUCCGCAGACAAUAGGGAUGUUGGCUCAGAAGCAGCCAUCAUUUAAAGAAAGCGUAAUAGCUCACCUAUCUAGGACAAUGGCGUCGUAAAUGGACGGGGCUAAGUGAUUUGCCGAUACUUUUGAUUAUUAUUUUAUUAAUAAUAAUAUGGUAAGAAGGUGUUGUAUGUGGGCAGAAGUAAUGUCGUAAGAUAUUGUGGACCGCAUGCAAAUAAGAAUCCCGGUAAUAGUAGUAGUAAGUGAGGUGUGAAUCCUCAUCACCGAAAGGGCUAGGGUUUCUCGGCAAUGUUCGUCAACCGAGAGUUAGUCGAUCCUAAUUUUGCAUUCAAAUGAAUGCCAAGAGAAAGGGAAAGGCGUAAAUAUUCGUCUACUGAUAAAAAAUUGCGGCGACGUUAAAUUAUUUCCAACAAUUCGGGAUAAAACAAUACAAAUGAAUAAUUUGUACUAAAUUUAUAAUUCUGGGAAAUGUGGUAAUCACGAGAACCAGAAGAAAGAAUGAAUGGGUUUGCUUAUGCAAACUUUGUUUAAAGUUCUGGAUUUCAUAAAAAGGAAAUAAUAUUGUUUUUUAUCAAUCGUACCAAGAACCAUUACUGGUGCCCCUGGAUGAAAAAUCCAAGGUGUUUCGGAAUUAAUCCAUCUUAAGGAAUUCAGCAAAUUAGCCCUGUAUCUUUGGUAGAAAGGGUGCCUAUAAUCUAUAUUUCAGUAUGGAAUUGUAGGUUUCAAUAAAAAGGGAAGCCCGACUGUUUAUUAAAAACAUAGAUGGCUGCAAACCUGAAAAGGUUAGUAUAGCCAUUGAUUCUUGCCCAGUACCAGUAUCUGAACGCCCGGUUCAACGGGUUAAAGGACUGGCAAACGGCGGUCGUAACUCUGACGAUCAAUUAGGUUGUCUUUAAAUCUGGCCAUAUGCUGGAAAUCCUCUAUAUAUUUGAAUCCUCAGUAAGGGACAAUUUCAAAUAUGAGGACGAUCAGCAGGAAACUAUUUGGUUAUUUUUUUUAGAAAAAUUAAAUAAAAUUUAAAAAUAAUAUAAUUAUUUAUUUGAAUGGAAAAAAAAAUAAAAUAUACUUUUCCUAAAAAAGGAAGAGAAUUAAGAUAUUAUCUAGCUGGAUUUGCUGAUGGCGAAUGUUGUUUUAAUGUAUCUAUAAAGAAUCAAAAAACAGCAAAAUUUGGAUGGGUUUUAGAUCCUUUUUUUCAAGUAACGCAAAGAAAAGAACAUAAAGAGUUGCUUGAAAUAUUUAGAAAAACAUUGAAUUGUGGAAGAGUGAUUGAAAAACCCGGACAAGAAGAACAAUCUUUAUUUCUUGUAGAUAAUAGAAGACAAUUAAAUGAAAAAAUAAUUCCUUUCUUUAAUAAAUAUAAGUUAUUUACGAAAUGGAAUGAUUUUAAGAAAUUUGAAGAAAUUGUCCAAGCAUUAGAGCAAAAAGAGCAUCAGGAUAAAAAAAAAUUCAAAGAACUAAUAAAAAAAGCAUUUUUGAUGAACAAUAAAGGAAAGCAAAGACGCUAUAAGUUAGAUGAUAUUUUGAAUAAUAUAUAAACCAAUAGGAUCCUCAGAGACUAUACGCCAGACCCAUAAGAUAAUUUUUAUCUUACUGGGAAGAUAUAGUCCACACCUAUAGUAAUAUAGGAAAUAAGUGCUUAAGGUAGCGUAAUCCCUUGCCGAUUAAAUGUCGGCCUGCAUGAAUAGAAUAACGAGUUUUCCACUGUCUCAAGAUGGAAUCCGGCGAACUUAAUAUUUUGGUGCAUAGUCCAAAGACUUCCAACGGGAAGCGAAGACCCCAUGGAGCUUUACUGCAGUCUGUUGUUGAAUUAUAUCUCUUAAUGCAUAGAGUAAGUAGGAGAUGUUUAGAAUUUCUUUUCCGGGAGAAAUUUUAGUCAAAAGUGUAACACUACUCAUUAGGAAAUGUAUUUCUUAUUCUGUUAAGGCAGAAAACACCAAUUGAUGGGCAGUUUGGCUGGGGCGGCACACCUCUAAAAAUUUAUCAGAGGUGCCCAAUGGUAUCCUUAAGCGGGACGGAAAUCCGCUAAAAAGCGCAAAGGUAAAUGGAUGCCUGAUAGGAUUCUGAUCAACGAUGAAUCCUGACACGAAAGUGUGGCUUAGCGAACCCAUGUUGCCUUCUUUUGAGGCACAUGGAUGACAAAAAAGUUACCCUGGGGAUAAUUGUGUUGUCUCAAGCGAGAGUUCAUAUCGACCUUGAGGCUUGCUACUCCGCUGUCGGCUUUUCUCAUCCUGGUUGUGCAUAAGCAGCCAAGGGUGGGGGUGUUCACCCAUUAAAGAGGAUCAUUAGCUGGGUUUAGAACGGCGCGAGCCAGUUCUGUUGCUAUCUGUUGGAAGUGUUUAAAAUCUGAGGGUAAGGUUUGGAAAGUACGAAAGGAACAUCAAACCGAAGCCAAUAGUGAACCAGUGGUCUUACAAGGCCUCUGGGUAGCCACGCUUUAAAUGAUAAGAACUGAAAGCAUCUAAGUUCGAAGCAUGCCCCAAAAAUAGAUUUAAGACUCUUGUAUAAUACAAGUUUGAUAGAGCAAAAGUGUAAGGCAAGCAAUUGUUUUAGCUGAUUGCAACUAAUAG
rnacentral:rRNA from 1 species